rnacentral:sRNA from 1 species
AAAUAGCGUUAAGGAUAGUAGUGGCAUACUUUUUAGGCGGCGACUAAAAAGAUAUAACGAAUAGCCUGACCCGUU